rnacentral:rRNA from 1 species
GAUGAACGCUGGCGGCGUGCCUAAUACAUGCAAGUCGAGCGAACGGACGAGAAGCUUGCUUCUCUGAUGUUAGCGGCGGACGGGUGAGUAACACGUGGAUAACCUACCUAUAAGACUGGGAUAACUUCGGGAAACCGUAGCUAAUACCGGAUAAUAUUUUGAACCGCAUGGUUCAAAAGUGAAAGACGGUCUUGCUGUCACCUAUAGAUGGAUCCGCGCUGCAUUAGCUAGUUGGUAAGGUAACGGCUUACCAAGGCAACGAUGCAUAGCCGACCUGAGAGGGUGAUCGGCCACACUGGAACUGAGACACGGUCCAGACUCCUACGGGAGGCAGCAGUAGGGAAUCUUCCGCAAUGGGCGAAAGCCUGACGGAGCAACGCCGCGUGAGUGAUGAAGGUUUUCGGAUCGUAAAACUCUGUUAUUAGGGAAGAACAUAUGUGUAAGUAACUGUGCACAUCUUGACGGUACCUAAUCAGAAAGCCACGGCUAACUACGUG